rnacentral:rRNA from 1 species
UACGUAGGUGGCAAGCGUUGUCCGGAUUUACUGGGCGUAAAGAGCGUGUAGGCGGCCCGAUAAGUCCGCUGUGAAAGUCCAGGGCUCAACCCUGGGAUGCCGGUGGAUACUGUCGGGCUCGAGUCCGGAAGAGGAGUGUGGAAUUCCUGGUGUAGCGGUGAAAUGCGUAGAUAUCGUUUGGAACGCCAAUGGUGAAAACAGACAGCUGGGAGUGUGCUGACGCUGAGACACGAAAGCCAGGGGAGCGAACGGG